ACAACGCUCCUUCGAGUCCCUUCUGCGAUCCCGUUUAGGCUUCUCUCCUGGAUCCUGGAUAAUGUUCCCAAGGUGUUGGGAAGGCCUGCGUCUCGGGUCACAACUGUGGGUGUGGCCCUGCGCUGUUCCAUGGAGCCUACCCUCUCAGUGGGCAUGGGCCCAACCGUCCAGUUUUCCUCUUUUAUGGACCGUCCUCAAAGGCGGCUGGCAGAUCUGGGGCCUCAGGGCACUGUUGCUGAUUCCCACUCGCCUGGGCAGCCUGCCGCAGAUGCACAGGCCCCAGGUGCAGGCCACCACCUCCGGGUCGGCACUAGGACUGCCCUCGGUGCUCGUAGGGAAUGGCUGGGCCCUCGGAAGGUCGGCCUGGCAUGUGGCCUGGGACUGCUGCUCUGCUGGCUGCUGUGUGGAUGCUUUUCAUGGAGCACUUUCCAAGGCAUCCCCCAGCCCUGAGCCUGGGCGCAUCCGUCACUCAGGGGCUUUCUAUGGGUCUUUGUGGGGGAAGGCCCUGGCUUUGUAUUCCCCACAAGUAGCACUGAGUUUCUUAGGAAAUUCGUCUUCAGGAUUAGGUCUCGAACUCUUGUGAAAAGUUUAUAUGUAGGAUAAAAACCUUUUAGAGGACAUAUAGGCGAUACCACUAAGGUUUUGCUAAUGAGCCAUUCAAACCGACAGCAGCGUGAAGGUGUGUCAAGGCGUAUACCCUCGUGGCUCGGCAUUCUCAGUGCAAAGGGCUGUUUGGAGACUCUGUGGGAAUUGUUUUUCAUCUGUUUCUAUGGUUGUCAAAUGAAUUCUUCACCCACCCUACAGUUUGCUAACUCCUUGAAGCUAUCAAAUUGGUAAGAGAGGCUGCCCGCACCCCGGGGGCACCAUCGCCCACUUAUUACUUGGUUUUGUGGAUACUCAUGGAGCAUCUAUCACAUCCAGCAUUGUCCCAGUGCUUUGAGUUGGACGGGACUCUGCAGCCAAGGCAGGAUAAGAAACUCUUGCAAUCCCGUCCUGCAGUAAUAGAAACAGGUGGUUCCGCAUUAUAAGCCACAGGCGGAACAUUCAGUAGCCCAUUCAGACUGCAUGGGCUGGCCUAGGAGUCUUUGUCUCCAUACAUUUUAAGAACCCCGCCCACAACAGGGAGUUAAACUGGAGGACCUUUGCAUGAUUAGUUCAGGGAUGAGUGGUUUCUGGGGCAAUGGAGAACCGGUCACGCCUGUCCUGGAGACAGUGUGCCCAGAAAAGGGAACGUGGUACUCACUGGAUGCACCCAGGCCGGCCCGAACCUCCCACCACAGACAGCGCGGAACAGAGUGAGCCUGAGCUGCCCCAGGCGAGGCCCUCUGUGCUGUGUGACUGGAGGCCUCUCCGCAUGGGUACUUGGGGGUGGGGCCACAAAUCUGGCGAAAAACUUCGUGCUGGCCACCGUGGGGUUUCUCUUCUCCAGCGUUCCAGCCGUUGUCAUGGCGGGUCUUCGUCUAUAACUGAGAAGAAAAGCAUUCCUGUUUGAUCACCGCCGUAGUUACCAGUUCUGGAUCAGUCAGUGUUUCUGCAUGGAAUAACCACCAUUAAAAAAAGCACUGGAUUCUGCCCUUUCAUCUUUGUAAGAGAUUCUUGCCUCUAGCAAUGACAUCCUGUGAUGUCUCACAGUAGAGCACUUAGAGCAGAAUCAGGUCCCCACGGCUGUUGCUCAAUAAAAGUGGUGGAAUAAAGUGCA